AGAGUUUGAUCAUGGCUCAGGACGAACGCUGGCGGCGUGCUUAAUACAUGCAAGUCGAGCGACGAAAGGAGAAGGGGUAACCCUUCUCCCUGAAAGCGGCGAACGGGUGAGUAACACGUGGGUAACGUGCCCCCGACUCUGGGAUAACAACGGGAAACCGUUGCUAAUACCGGAUGACCCUGCAACACCGCAUGGUGAAGCAGGCAAAGUUUUUCGGUCGGGGAUCGGCCCGCGGUGUAUCAGCUUGUUGGUGGGGUAACGGCCUACCAAGGCUUCGACGCAUAGCUGGCGUGAGAGCGCGACCAGCCACACUGGGACUGAGACACGGCCCAGACUCCUACGGGAGGCAGCAGUAGGGAAUCUUGCGCAAUGGGCGAAAGCCUGACGCAGCGACGCCGCGUGAGGGAUGAAGGCCUUCGGGUUGUAAACCUCUUUCAGCAGGGACGAAGCGAAAGUGACGGUACCUGCAGAAGAAGGUCCGGCCAACUACGUGCCAGCAGCCGCGGUAAUACGUAGGGACCGAGCGUUGUCCGGAUUUAUUGGGCGUAAAGAGCUCGUAGGCGGCCGUCCACGUCGGGUGUGAAAGCUCGGGGCUCAACCCUGAGAGGUCAUUCGAUACGGGACGGCUUGAGGCAGCUAGGGGAGA
rnacentral:rRNA from 1 species